rnacentral:tRNA from 1 species
AAAAAUUUAGUUAAAUUAUAACAUUAGUUCGUCAAACUAAAAUUACUUCUAAGUAAUUUUUU